GUAGAGUUGUCAACUGGGCUGGGCCAGCCCGGCCCGGCCCAGGCCCGGUUGAGCCCGUAAGGAGUUAGGCCCAGCCCAGCCCAAGCCCACAUUUGAAAUGGGCCGGUCCUGGGCCGGGCUUUUUAUAAAAUAUCGAACCCAGCCCGAUUCAGGACCACAUGUCUAGUGGGCUUGGGCCUCAAAUGGGUCGGGCCUCACAUGGGCUUAUGCUGGGUCGAGUAUGAUGGGCUUAUACUGGGUUGUACUUCGAAUGACGGAAUGAGCUUCAGUUGGGUACGAAUGAGUUUUCAAUUUUAGAUUGUUUUAAAUUUGUAAUUAUUAUCUUUAAAUUAUUUUGAGCUUAUUUAUAUAUUUGACAAAUGGUCCUUGGGCUUUAAAUAGGUUUAAUAUUUUAUUGGGUUUAAUAUUUUAGUAUUGCUAAAUUGUGUAGGGAAUUGAAUAUUGAAUAAGAGGAAUAAAUAUAUAAAUAAUAUUUAACCUAAAUUAUUGGGCUUGGACCGGUCCUGGGCUGGGCCUGGUCCUGGUCCUGGGCCGGGCUUGGGCUGGGCUUCUAACGAUCCUGGUCCUGGGCCGGGCUUGGGUUUGAUAAAUAGCCCAAAUGGAGCCCAUUUCAAAGGGCUGGCCCGGCCCAACUAACCCAUUCGAUCAAGUGGGCUGGUCCUGGGCCGGCCCAUACCGGGCUUGGGCCGGUUCGGGCUGGGCCGGCCCGGCCCAGUUGACAACUC
rnacentral:lncRNA from 1 species